rnacentral:rRNA from 1 species
UACGGACGGUGCGAACGUUGCUCGGAAUCACUGGGCGUAAAGGGUGCGUAGGCGGGGUGUCCAGUCUAGUGUGAAAUCCCACGGCUAAACCGUGGAAUGGCCUUAGAUACUGAAGGCCUUGAGGGAGGUAGGGGCGAGCGGAAUUGCGGGUGGAGCGGUGAAAUGCGUUGAUAUCCGCAGGAACUCCGGUGGCGAAAGCGGCUCGCUGGACCUCUUCUGACGCUGAGGCACGAAAGCGUGGGGAGCAAACGGG